AGAGUUUGAUCCUGGCUCAGGAUGAACGCUGGCGGCGUGCCUAACACAUGCAAGUCGAACGGAACUAUUUUGGAAACUCCUUCGGGAGCGGAAUCUUUAGUUUAGUGGCGGACGGGUGAGUAACGCGUGAGCAAUCUGCCUUUAAGAGGGGGAUAACAGUCGGAAACGGCUGCUAAUACCGCAUAAAGCAUCAAAUUCGCAUGUUUUUGAUGCCAAAGGAGCAAUCCGCUUUUAGAUGAGCUCGCGUCUGAUUAGCUGGUUGGCGGGGUAACGGCCCACCAAGGCGACGAUCAGUAGCCGGACUGAGAGGUUGAACGGCCACAUUGGGACUGAGACACGGCCCAGACUCCUACGGAGGCA
rnacentral:rRNA from 1 species